GUCACGAAAAUUUUAAUUUAAAGACCGCCGUUUAUAAGUUGCCCCCGGAAUGCAUAGGAGAAAUAAGAACGGAAAAAUGGCAAACUCCUUUGAUGAGGGAUGCUGACGAUUUGCUGGAUAAUAGGUUCCAAUAAGCUACCCGGAUAUACGGCUGUUGACGAAUUCUAUCGGAGGCCGUGCUGCUGGUGUCACCAAGUUGCCUCCGGAAAACAUAACCCGAUGCGGAAAGCGAAACGGUACCGACAAUUUAUGGAAUGAAUCCUGAAUUUCAACAAAACGAGCGGAUGGUCUGCUGCUGAACUGACGUUGUUUACUGCGAUUGUGGGGAUCCCGGUAUUAGGCAUCCGGAAGGCAUGGGCUGCAGGAAAGAAAACUGUCCUUUGAGUAAGGAGAUUGCCGACAAUUUGCAAACGAAUUCAAUUUUCAAGAUACCUUCCGGAUGUACAGCAGUCGAGGAUGUUUACCGAUUUCGUAUGGAUGCCGAUAUGAAGCUGUCUGCGGAACGCAUAUACAGCUGAAAGUAAAAAGGCACCAGUCGAACAGAACUUCAACUUUGAUGCCGUUAAUGUUUGGCACCAGUCGAACAGAACUUCGACUUUGAUGCCGGUAAUGUUUUACAUUAUGGCCAAGCUGACUCCGGAAUCAUCCGAAAGCAUCGUAAAUGUUAAAAUUUGAGCCUUUCAAAUAAUGAUUUUCUAUUUUCGAUUGUGGAUCAAUUUGAUUUUGAUGCAUGAUUUUUUCCAGCCGGAUUUGA